CCUGCCGCCGGAGCAGAGCCGCUCCGCAGCAUUGCACCCAGCGGCACGUACAAAAGCAGCUGAUUCCAGGUGAAACAGGACCAUCCGUGCACCGAACGAAGACGCGUUCUUCUUUUCUCCAAGACAGAACCCGGCAACAACCCACAGCCCGCAGCCCUCACUCCAAAGCGAACCCCGCACUCCCAGCGCAGCCCCGGGCGCGGGCAGACACGGGAGCGGACUGACUGCUGACAUAGAGAAACUGAAGGUUCGUCGCAUUCCAGCAGCUCCAGGCUCGCAUUCCGCCUCUGGCAGCACCGCAGCGCUCAGAGAUGAACGACCAACCCGCACAGCAGCACCGAAAGCCGCAUCCUUCCCACUCCCCGCAGCGGGGGGAGCAAUGCCGGACCCCGCACGGCUCACAGCUCCAAAGGGCAGCUCGAGCAAUGUUAAAAAUAAAAUCCUUUAUUGAUCGUA